rnacentral:rRNA from 1 species
UACGUAGGGUGCGAGCGUUAAUCGGAUUUACUGGGCGUAAAGCGUGCGCAGGCGGCCCGUUAAGACAGGUGUGAAAUCCCUGGGCUCAACCUAGGAAUUGCGCUUGUGACUGGCGGGCUCGAGUACGGUAGAGGGGGGUGGAAUUCCUGGUGUAGCAGUGAAAUGCGUAGAGAUCAGGAGGAACACCGAUGGCGAAGGCGGCACCCUGGGCCUGUACUGACGCUCAUGCGCGAAAGCGUGGGGAGCAAACAGG